rnacentral:misc_RNA from 1 species
AACGCACCUUGCACCUCUUGGUAUUCCGAGAGGUACACCUGUUUGAGUGUCAUUAAUUAUCAUCCAACUCUUUUCUUAGGAAGAGAGAUAUGGGAUUUGGGGGUUUUCUUUUUUUAUUGCAGGACUUUUUAGCAGUCUGCUCCCCUUGAAAGUAUUAGUGAGAAGUCGUCCCUUUUUAUUGCGGCUUUUGGGUGAUGUGAUAGUAAACUAUGCAAAUAUACCCUUUGGCUUAGCGUUGGGUUUAUUAAAGCUUCUUGCUUCAAACUGUCCUUUGAGACAAUUAUAUAACUUGAUCUCAAAUCAGGUGGGACUACCCGCUGAACUUAA